rnacentral:rRNA from 1 species
GAUGAACGCUGGCGGCGUGCCUAAUACAUGCAAGUCGAGCGAACGGACGAGAAGCUUGCUUCUCUGAUGUUAGCGGCGGACGGGUGAGUAACACGUGGAGAACCUACCUAUAAGAAUGGGAUAACUUCGGGAAACCGGAGCUAAUACCGGAUAAUAUUUUGAACCGCACGGUUUAAAAGUGAAAGACGGUCUUGCUGUAACUUAUAGAUGGAUCCGCGCGUCAUGAGCUAGUUGGUAAGGUAACGGCAUACCAAGGCAACGAUGCAUAGCCGACAUGAGAGGGAGAUCGGCUAACCGGGAACUGAGGCAGGGCCCAGACUCCUACGGGGGGCAGCAGUAGGGAAUCUUCCGCAAGGGAGGAAAGCCUGACGGAGCAACGCCGCGUGAGUGAUGAAGGUCUUCGGAUCGUAAAACUCUGUUGUUAGGGAAGAACAUAUGUGUAGGUAACUGUGCACAAAUUGACGGUACCUAAUCAGAAAGCCACGGCUAACUACGUG